GAGAAAAAAAAAUCAUAAGAGGCUGGCGAGGAACAGAAGAGACUACAGCCCCCUUGUGAGGAUGUGACAGGCAGUAAUGGACCCUGUACAAAUAAAGUUAAAAAAAAAAGGGUCCAUUACGUCUUGUCACAGCCCCACAAGAAGACUGGGGUGGAAGGC